CAGCAGCCACGGUAAUACGGAGGGGGCUAGCGUUGUUCGGAAUUACUGGGCGUAAAGCGCACGUAGGCGGCUUGGUAAGUUAGAGGUGAAAGCCCGGAGCUCAACUCCGGAAUUGCCUUUAAGACUGCCGAGCUAGUAGGUGAGAGAGGUAAGUGGAGUUCCGAGUGUAGAGGUGAAAUUCGUAGAUAUUCGGAAGAACACCAGUGGCGAAGGCGGCUUACUGGCUCAUUCUAGACGCUGAGGUGCGAAAGCGUGGGGAGCAAACUGGAUUAGAUACCCCCGUAGUCCCUGUCUCUUAUAC
rnacentral:rRNA from 1 species